ensembl:snRNA U6 U6 spliceosomal RNA
GUGCUCGAUUCAGCAGCACCUAUACUAAAAUUGGAACAAUACAGAGAAGACUAGCAUGGCCCGUGCACAAGGAGGGGACACACACACACACACACACACACACACACA